CGUUGCAAUAAUACACAAAGCGCAAAGGUUCCGUGAUUAAUCACAUAUUUUAGAAACGCGUAACGAGUGCAAAUGUUUAUCGGGUGUGCCGAUUAAAGUGACGGGCGAUUGCCGGUAUUCUCGAUUAACUGCCCAGACACACGCACGUCUUCAAGCUAUUUGAAGACGUCUAAAAAACGUUAUCAGAAAAAUGACAUCUUUCACCGUGAAUUCGCGCAGCUUGAGUAAGUACACACGGUCACAGGAAUGUCUUAACACAUGAAUUUGUCAGCGAGUGUCAAGGCACAUUCUAAUUGGCGUGUGAAAUUCACACUCGUGCAAGUUCAUGUGUUAGGGCACUCCUGUAAUCGUAUACAUAUUCCGACGCUAUAGGCAUGAAUACGCGAUAUAUUUUUUAUUAGAUGUAGUAUGUCAAAACUCUUUUCCAUCGGAACUGAGUCGAGCAAAACAUAGUGGCGUUGUGUGUGCAUAUCUAUGCCUGACGACGUCCGCGUGACAUCCGUCAGGAUAUUCGUUCGUCUCGCUUGCUUCGAACGCAUGUACAAUGUCCAGUAACCGCCGAAUGUGUCGGUGACAAUUCUCAAUGAGCAUGAACUCAUUACAGAACAAAGUGCGUUUUGUAUCGCGUUUCGUAUACCGCGGCGUGGCAAAUCCGCGAUGUGAAUCCGUGAAAAGUGACCGGUGUGCGGGUUGAUUUUUCUUCGGGAGUGUGCAUGACUAACAAUGCAGAUUUCCAGUAGUCAUUGAUUCUUCGAUGAAGCCGAUGCGGACAGUCCAAGGAGAAAUUUGCGGUGGAUGGCAUACUUCAAUACCCUAUCUGAUAUAGCUUGAGAGCGUAUUUAGUUGGGGUACAACGACCGGACGCGUCGAUGCACGAUGACAGCAAAAUUCACACUCUUGGAAAGAAGACGGCAGUGACAGGGCCACGUAUACGGCACUUUCAACCCUUAAUAAAAGCCACGCUGGGGGGAUGUACGGUGAACCUACAUGAUGGACAGGCUCGCCAACUUCUCGAUGGUUCCAGAUUUUAUCUGCCAAGGCGCCCUGUGCGACCUUGCAUAUUCAAUCGAAGGUUAUUCGUGAAUAAAUAUUCAUGCUGUCGCCGUGGUCUACGUCCUGCUGAAAUCGAAGUGGCGUUAACACAGACACACAUAUAUACACAAAAUAAAAAGUUAAUGUUCCAUGUUUAUCUAGAACAGACAUUCAUUAAGACGCUCGUUAAGUUAGGAAACCAUUAGCAUGUUAGCAUACGGAAUGUAACUAAACAAAAGGAUGUUCUAAUUACAUUUUGUAGAUGUAAUUAUUGACUGAAAUUAUCACAAGAUAAUAGAUUCAGUCGUGGAAGAUAACACUUAACAGUUAUAAUAUAUCACAACGAGCUGAACAAUAAUUCUUUAAGAAAGCAUUUUUAAACAUAUAUAUAUAUAUUUCUUGGGAACUAUCCAAAAAACUAGAUCUCUUGUUUUAAUUAACAUGCACCUUUCCAUUAGCCCUACCUUUACAGCUGAUUACGGUACUCUCGUAAUUAGUAACAAUAUCUGCACGAUACUGAUCGCUAAUUAAAAGCCAGGCAUUGUUUACACACACACACAUUUAACCAUAUAAAUUAUUACAUUGUUAAGUUAUGAAUCGCGUUUAUAUACAAGAUGUCCCAAAUACGGCACCCCGUACCUAUUAUCCUUUCCAACAGUACUAUCAUUAAUUAUUAUUUUCCGUACUUUUCGAUCUCACUCUUCCCGUCGUUACUUAUUACGGACGCCCAAAGUGUCGAACGUGUAAUCCGUGCGAUGAUUCGAGUUUUACUUUGCCCGAAUGACAAAGUACGCGUCGAAAGUUUUAAAAUAUCGCGCGAUUUUUGUAUUCGCAUCUUUUUAUAACGCACUCCUAAUUUCAAUAAAUGAUUAAUUAUUUGCACUAAAUAAUGUAAGAAUUGUUCAAUUAUGUUAUACGCAUUUCUUAAUUGAACUUGAUUAUUUAUACUUUCUUUAUAAAUAUUAAUAAAACAUCGGACUUUAUUAAAUUAGAUAACAUAGUGGAUUAUUAUUCUCACUCACAUUAUCAUUUUCUUUCCCUUGAGAUAAUAGUGCCUUUACUUUAUUUAACACAUUAUAUUCCCUUGUCAUAAACUUGUCAAUUAAUAACUAUUAAUUUUUUUUGUUCUUAGUAAUAAUAAUCAAUGAAGUUUGUUUUUGGAAAACUUACGUAAUUUUUUAUCUGAUUUUUAUCGAGCAAAAAACGAAUGAUACAUAAAACAAAAGAUAACAACGAUAUCAUCCGAUUCUAGGUUUGGUACAAAACGCAUUGGGAACAAAUUGACUCCAAACUCACGCGCGUUUUACAAUUUCCGAACUCUGCUAGUUCUGCUAGUUAGAAAGCUAGUUUUUCGGUUCUACCAGCUCUAUGAUUAAAUAUUGUUGCGUAUUUCGUACGUGACAUUAUUUUUGAUAUUGUGCAAAUGAUAUGCAUUAAACGAUGAAAUUUUAUACCAAUAUUAAUUAUCAAUUCUUUGAAAUCUAAUUGUCAAUUGAAAUCACGCAUUUCUGAAUAAUGUUACAUAUUAGACAUAUUAACGAUAAAUUGUAUUUUCUAAAUCUACACCGAAAAGUUACUUUAUCGAAAGACGAAAAAUAUGUAUGCACAUGUAGCAAAGAGAUUGCAUAUACAAUAUGUGUCACGACAUAAAUGAUAUUCCUGAACACAGAUGCCAGUAUGUGUUUGAUACGCGAUCUUAUAAGAUAUAACGAACAUGAGAGUUUGCUAUAUGAUUACUAUUU